GUGGGUGUUUUUCUAGUCGACACUGAAUAUUCAAAGCUGUGACUAGAUCUACACUCAUCA
rnacentral:pre_miRNA from 1 species